AGAGGUAAAUUUUAAAACUUGGACCAAGUCCUCAAAUAGAUUUGGGAUGAAAUGCUCGUCAUUUCAUCUCGGGGUGAAAUGACGAGCAUCUCUACCUUAGCCAUCCAUAAGCGACUCGGCCCAGAAUUACGGUAUUAUAGAAUGCUUGAUUACGCUAGACCUCGCGCUUUAGAGCCUCCUGGCUCGCCUGAGCCUUACGAUAUAGCCAGCUUGUAACAUCACAUAACCCUGCAUUCAAUGCAACGCGGAACGGACCAUGGGCUAGUCGGGUGAGGCCUCGCAAUAGAAAGCCUCAGGAGUGCGUGGGUUCGGCACCGCAGCAAUGCGAAUGGAUUGCUGGACUGCAAAUUAUUUGCAAAUAUGUUCCUGAGAUUCAAAUCAGGCUUGGUUCGCAGCUGCAUCGUUCUGGCCACGGCCGUGGCCAUAUGUACGUACUCACGGCCUGGUGCUUGGCUGGUUUAAUCAACUCGCGGAAACCGUUGAAACUUGCAGCUUCUUGGUGCUUUUAAAGCCUUGCGAUGCCGCUACUUAUCCCGCUGCUCAGGGCUGCCUACGCAGUCGCACGCAGAGGGAGCCGAAUUUGAAGAUCUUUAUGCAAGUGUAUCCUUGCUUUGUAGGAGUAUUUCGUAGUAGUAUUGUUUUAUAGAAAUAUUUGUUUGCCGGCUGUUGUCACUUACAGAUUCUCGUUACUGAUGUAUGGGUAGAGAAAACCUGAACGCCGGCUAACCUGAGAACAAUGAGUACGCAUUCAAUCGGACGAAGGUCAUCGACAUGGCGCAAAUUAGAGGCUCAAUUUAAAUCGUUGCACAGGAUGUUGGGACGGGUGAGCAA
rnacentral:lncRNA from 1 species